AUUGAACGCUGGCGGAAUGCUUUACACAUGCAAGUCGAACGGCAGCACGGACUUCGGUCUGGUGGCGAGUGGCGAACGGGUGAGUAAUAUAUCGGAACGUGCCCGGUCGUGGGGGAUAACGUAGUGAAAAUUACGCUAAUACCGCAUACGAUCUAAGGAUGAAAGCGGGGGAUCGCAAGACCUCGCGCGAUUGGAGCGGCCGAUAUCAGAUUAGGUAGUUGGUGAGGUAAAGGCUCACCAAGCCAACGAUCUGUAGCUGGUCUGAGAGGACGACCAGCCCCACUGGAACUGAGACACGGUCCAGACUCCUACGGGAGGCAGCAGUGGGGAAUUGUGGACAAUGGACGCAAGUCUGAUCCAGCCAUUCCGCGUGCAGGACGAAGGCCUUCGGGUUGUAAACUGCUUUUGUACAGAACGAAAAGGUCUCUAUUAAUACUAGGGGCUCAUGACGGUACUGUAAGAAUGAGCACCGGCUAACUACGUGCCAGCCGCCGCCGUAAUAC
rnacentral:rRNA from 1 species